GGUAAUACAGAAGAGGGGCUAGCGUUGUUCGGAAUUACUGGGCGUAAAGCGAGCGUAGGUCGCUUAGCAAGUCAGUGGUGAAAGCCCAAGGCUCAACCUUGGAACUGCCAUUGAAACUGCUAAGCUAGAAUCUCAGAGGGGAUAGCGGAAUUCCAAAUGUAGAGGUGAAAUUCGUAGAUAUUUGGAGGAACACCGGUGGCGAAGGCGGCUAUCUGGAUGAGUAUUGACACUGAGGCUCGAAAGUGCGGGGAUCAAACAGGAUUAGAUACCCUGGUAGUCCGCACUGUAAACGAUGAAUGCUAGUUGUUAGGGGGUUCCCCCUUAGUGACGAAGCUAACGCAUUAAGCAUUCCGCCUGGGGAGUACGGUCGCAAGAUUAAAACUCAAAGAAAUUGACGGGGACCCGCACAAGCGGUGGAGCAUGUGGUUUAAUUCGAGGCAACGCGAAGAACCUUACCAGGCCUUGACAUGUCCAGUUUGAUUACCAGAGAUGGUUUUUCUUCACUUCCGGGUGGCUGGAACACAGGUGCUGCAUGGCUGUCGUCAGCUUCGUGCCGUGAAAUCAC
rnacentral:rRNA from 1 species